rnacentral:tRNA from 1 species
GCCCCCAUCGUCUAGCCCGGUCUAGGACAGGAGACUCUCAUUCUCCAGACAGGGGUUCAAAUCCCCUUGGGGGUGCCA